AUGCUUGCUUCGUCAGCACAUAACUAAAACUGGAACAAUACAGAGAUACAGAUAUGGCCCCUGAACAAGAAUGACACGCAAAUUCAUGAAGCGUUCCAUAUAAUU
ensembl:snRNA U6 U6 spliceosomal RNA